UAGUCUCUUGAAGCAAAGUUCUGUGACACUCAGACUCUGAUUAUGAUAGAAGUCAGUGCACUACAGAACUUUGUCUUUGGGGUCUG
rnacentral:pre_miRNA from 19 species